GGGGAAUAUUGCGCAAUGGGCGAAAGCCUGACGCAGCAACGCCGCGUGAGGGAUGACGGCCUUCGGGUUGUAAACCUCUUUCAGCAGGGACGAAGCGAGAGUGACUGUACCUGCAGAAGAAGCGCCGGCUAACUACGUGCCAGCAGCCGCGGUAAUACGUAGGGCGCAAGCGUUGUCCGGAUUUAUUGGGCGUAAAGAGCUCGUAGGCGGUCUGUCGCGUCGGAUGUGAAAACCCGGAGCUCAACUCCGGGCCUGCAUUCGAUACGGGCAGACUUGAGUACUGCAGGGGAGACUGGAAUUCCUGGUGUAGCGGUGGAAUGCGCAGAUAUCAGGAGGAACACCGGUGGCGAAGGCGGGUCUCUGGGCAGAAACUGACGCUGAGGAGCGAAAGCGUGGGGAGCGAAC
rnacentral:rRNA from 1 species